AUUUUGGACAAUGGGGGAAACCCUGAUCCAGCCAUCCCGCGUGUGCGAUGAAGGUCUUAGGAUUGUAAAAUCCUUUCACCGGGGACGAUAAUGACGGUACCCGGAGAAGAAGCCCCGGCUAACUUCGUGCCAGCAGCCGCGGUAAUACGAAGGGGGCUAGCGUUGCUCGGAAUUACUGGGCGUAAAGGGCGCGUAGGCGGACAUUUAAGUCAGGGGUGAAAUCCCAGGGCUCAACCCUGGAACUGCCUUUGAUACUGGGUGUCUUGAGUACGGGAGAGGUGUGUGGAACUCCGAGUGUAGAGGUGAAAUUCGUAGAUAUUCGGAAGAACACCAGUGGCGAAGGCGACACACUGGCCCGUUACUGACGCUGAGGCGCGAAAGCGUGGGGAGCAAA
rnacentral:rRNA from 1 species